UUAGUUGCCAGCAUUCAGUUGGGCACUCUAAGGUGACUGCCGGUGACAAACCGGAGGAAGGUGGGGAUGACGUCAAAUCAUCAUGCCCCUUAUGACCUGGGCUACACACGUGCUACAAUGGGCAGAACAAAGGGCAGCGAAACCGCGAGGUUAAGCCAAUCCCACAAAUCUGUUCUCAGUUCGGAUCGCAGUCUGCAACUCGACUGCGUGAAG
rnacentral:rRNA from 1 species